GGCGGCUGAAGAGGAUGCUUCUCUCCCACGAUGGUCGCCAUGGGACCCCGCCAAUUGAAAGGAACGGAGAGAAUGAAUAAGCUGAGCAGCAGGUGAACCAAGAGUCCUGUCUGAUUCGAGACAUCUUGAAUGCCAUGAUCAGAAAGACACCAGGCUGACUUCUGUCCUCAUAUGCAAAUCCUGCUGACAUCAACAUCUGAGGCAUGUGAGCACUUCAGGGAAAAGGAGAGGAAGUAUCCUCAGUGGGCUCUUUCGUGAAAUGAGGAAGAUUACGUGACUGUUUUUUUCCCGUGGAAGAAGACUGUAGAUUUAACACUGCAGACUUUACUCAUUCGAAGUGCUCAGCCCUCCCUUGAACUGUGAACUUGGCUCAAAAAGGAUUAAAAGGUGGGUAUCAAAUUACACCUUUUUUCCUUUCUGCCACCAUAGUCUAAAUGCCUGGGUCAGGAUUUUGCUGCUACCCUGAGAGAGCUAAAAGCUCUCUUCUUACCUCUCAAAACGAAACCAGCCUCAGGAUAUCAGCAGUGAAAUGAUAAGAAAACCACCAAGGCAGUGUGAGACC